AUGAAUGCAUUCAGUUGAAUAAUUGACUAGGUAUCCCCCUUACCCUGUCGUUUUCUUAUUAAUCUGUGAGAGAAAGUCCUACACCUGGUGGAGAGAGUCUAUACGACACAGAAUGAGUUGUAUAAUGCGUGCUGUACGUUACGUAACGUAUAGCGUCAGAGGGGUCUGUUUUUAAAACUUUUCUCCAAUAGUAUCGGGCCUUUACCAUGUCAAUCAACACUUGACUAUAUGCGUAGUUCAUUUUUGAUGACAACACAGUCCCAUUAGUUUUCAUUGCUGCCUCGUUUGAAUGCCGCGGUUGCGAAAAUUUGUACGGAAUGGGAAUUGGCUGUCCCCACUCUCCAGGCUGCAAUCCACUCCCAGUUAGACAGGGUCUGUUCAGGCCUCUGUCAGCUCCACAAUGUCCUGGGGGACAUGAAGGACAUCCAGAACUCUCUGGCAGAAGUCAGCAAUGACUGGAGGCAAGGCAUCAACACCAUUGAACGUGCAGAAUGUAAAAUAUGCUGGGAUGCAACACAGUCAGCUAACCUCAGCCAUGGAGAACUUGGAAGAAUAUAUUUUCAGUUUCGCUAAGCAGCUACCCUCAAACAACUUGUUUGAAGGUGAAAUCACAGUAGGAGAAAACCUAAGAUUUUAGUUACAGCAGCACACUGACAUUAUAAAAGGCAAGGGGUUGAAUGGGCCAACAUGAAGGGUGACUACCUCAUGAAGCUGGUUGAGAGAAUGGCAAGAAUGUGCAAAGCUGUCAAGGCAAAGGGUGACUACUUUGAAGAAUCUCAACUAUCAAAUAUAUUUUGAUUUGUUUAACACUUGUUUUGUUUACUUCAUGAUUCCAUAAGUGUUAUUUCAUAGUUUUGAGGUCUUCACUAUUAUUCUACAAUGUAUAAAAUAGUCAAAAUAAAGAAAAACCCAUGAAUGAGUAGGUGUGUUCAAACUGGUACUGUAACUCCAAAUAAA